rnacentral:tRNA from 39 species
AGUCCACUCAGCCAUCUCUCC